rnacentral:rRNA from 1 species
AUUGAACGCUAGCGGCAUGCUUAACACAUGCAAGUCGAACGGUAACAGGCCUUGCUUGCUGGGUGCUGACGAGUGGCGGACGGGUGAGUAACGCGUAGGAAUCUGCCCUGUAGUGGAGAAUAACUUGGGGAAACUCAAGCUAAUACUGCAUAUGUCCUACGGGAUAAAGCAUGGGACCUUCGGGCCAUGCGCUAUGGGAUGAGCCUGCGUCAGAUUAGCUAGUUGGUGGGGUAAAGGCCUACCAAGGCGAUGAUCUGUAGCUGUUCUGAGAGGAAGAUCAGCCACACUGGGACUGAGACACGGCCCAGACUCCUACGGGAGGCAGCAGUGGGGAAUAUUGGACAAUGGGGGCAACCCUGAUCCAGCAAUGCCGCGUGUGUGAAGAAGGCCUGCGGGUUGUAAAGCACUUUCAGUGGGGAGGAAUGGCUUAAGUUUAAUAAACUUGAGAGAUGACGCUACCCACAGAAGAAGCACCGGCUAACUCUGUGCCAGCCGCCGCGGUAA